GGCCCCCAAACCGUGCACCCCCACAGGCCGCCGCCGCGGCUACUUACUUUCAUUUAACACCUCCACCAGGUCUGCGCAGUUCUCGCACAUCGUUCGGCCGCCGCCCCCCCCCUCCCCCGCUUCGGAUCGCAGUGACUGAUCCCGACCGGCGGGGGGGAGGGGAGAGAGGCGGAGGAGGGGGCCGGCCGGCCGGCGGGGCGGGGAGGCGACGAGGGCGGGCGGCGGCGGGGACGGGGCGGAGAGCAGGAGUAUGGGGGAGGGGGCCGGCGGUCCCCGGAGCGGGCGGGGGAGAGGAGGGGGGCGAGGGGAGGUGCGCAGGCCGGAGGGGCGCGGAGGCGCCGGCGGCGGGGAAGGGGGGGAAGGACGGGGGGGAGGGGAGAGGGAGGGAGGGGGCGGGUGGGGAGAGAAGCAGCAGAGUCACUUCACCGACCAGACGCCGCGGCCACCGCUGACGCCGCCGCCAUUUUAAUAGAGCGUUCGGGCUGCGCUCGGCUCUUUCCGCCCGAGCGAAGGAGCCGACGAGAAAAGCCUCGCGCUCUCAUUCCUCCGCCUCCUUCCCUCGCUUCGCCUCCCGCCCUCCCACCUCUCCCUCCGCACACACGCCGCACGCUCCACACCCCGCCGCGGCCGGCUCGCCGCCCUCCCUUUCCUCUUCCGUCUGGCCUCCCCGCCCUCGGUCCACCCCCUCGGCGCGUUCGCCCACCCCGCCCAGCCCGGAUCUCUGUCAGCGGCCGGAAGGGAAACACGAAGCCAGGGCGGCCGCGGGGGGAGUCCGAGUGGCAGCUAGAGACUCUGGUCUCUGGAAGGAAAGCCCCAAGGAGUACUUGUUACCGGUUAAAACAGUCAUGAUAGAUGAUGAAUUGAAAUGAAAUGAAAUGUUGGAGAGAUGCAACAUUCCUGACUUUGAAGAUGAAGGGAAGUGGGCCUUGAGUCAAGAAAUGUGGGUGGUCUCCAGAAGAUGGAAAAGACAAGGAAACAAUCUCCCUUUCAGCCUCCAGAAAAGAACCCAGCCAGCCCUGCUGACAUCUUGAUUUAGCCCAAUGAAACCCAUGUUGGACUACUGACUUACAAAACUGUAAAACGAUGUUUGUUAAAUUUAGUUUUAAGCCAUAAAUUUGUGGUAAUUUGUUUCAGCAGCAAUAGAAAACUAAUAGAAGUGAUGUGCAGAUCUAGAGAAUAGCAUAUGCAAAACUCCUGAUACAAAAUUCCUUGCUUCUUUCUAGGAACAGAAAUAAAGCCAGUAUGACUAGAACAUAGUUGGGAGAGAAGGCCCAUGCCAGACUUAACAGAGCACUGCAAACAUUGUUAAGAUUUUGGCCUAGAUCCUAAAAGCAAUACAAAGCAUUUAAGUGUGUAAGCAACACAAUCAGGUUUUUAUUAAAAUAUUCAGACUAGAGGUGCGUGGGUGGGUCAAUUGGUUAAGCAUCUGACUUCAGCUCAGGUCAUGAUCUCGAAGUUGGUGAGUUUGAGCCCCACUGUCAGCGCAGAGCCCACUUCGGAUCCUCUGUCUCCCUCCAUCUCUGCCUCGCCCCCACCCCCCCCCUCAUGCUGUGGUUCUCUCUCUGUCAAAAAUAAACAAACAGGGGCGCCUGGGUGGCUUGGUUGGUUAGGCGUCCGACUUCAGCUCAGGUCAUGAUCUCACAGUCCGUGAGUUUGAGCCCCGCGUCGGGCUCUGGGCUGACAGCUCAGACCCUGGAGCCUGUUUCAGAUUCUGUGUCUCCCUCUCUCUCUGCCCCUCCCCUGUUCAUGCUCUGUCUCUCUCUGUCUCAAAAAUAAAUAAACGUUAAAAAAAUUUUUUUUUAAAUAAAUAAACAUUUAAAAAAUAAAGAUAUAAAAUAAAAUAUUCAGACUAAUGGGGCACCUGGGUGCCCCGGUCAGUUAAGCAUCUGACUCUUGAUCUCAGCUCAGGUCUUGACCUCAGGGUCAUGAGUUCAAGCUUUGUGCUGGACUCUGCACUGGGCAUGAAGCCUAUUUAAAAAAAAAAAUCGUUUAAAAUAUUCAGAUUAAUAUGUAGAGAGUAGAUUAAAGAUAGGGACAACUGGGGGUUAUUAAUAUUAAUCCAGAAAGAUGAUGAUAAGCUUGGACUAGGAUAACAAAGAAAUGGAGAAAAGGGAGUCCAUUCUAAGAACAUUUUAGAGGUGAAAAGAACAAGACUUGAUUGAUGGGUAUGGGGAGAGAAAGUAUCAGAGCUAUCUCCAAAUAAGAGAUUUGCCCAACUGGGUAAAUGAUGCUGCCAUUCACCACAUUGGGGAUCACUUAAAGGAGGACCAGAGGGAGAUGGGAUCAAUAAUGACAAGUACUAUUUUGGAAGCACUCAGUUUGAGGUGCCUGUGAGGUAACUAGGAGUUGUUGACCAGGCAGUUGUUUGAAUCUAAAGCUCAAAAUAAAACUCAGGACUGCAAAUAUAAAAUCAAUCCUUAGUAUGGUAGCUCUUUAUGGGGAAAGAUAACUGCUAUACCUCUAGCAUUAUAAGUUCUAGGCAUGAAGAACAACCAAAGAACCAGUUCCCUCAGCUGUCCCCUCUUAUCAGGAAAGCAAAAACUUUCCAGAAGCCCCUCUGGCUAACUUUACUUUCUCAUUACCUAGAACUCUGUCACAUGGCCACCCUUAGAGCUCAAGGAAAGCUUGAGCUCUAUAUGUGUGUAUAUAUAUAUAUAUAUAUAUAUAUAUACAUAUAUAUAUACACACGUACAUAUAUUACUUGAUAUACAUACGUAUAUAUAUACACACAUACAUAUAUACACUUGAGCUCUAUGUAUGUGUGUGUGUGUAUAUAUAUACACACACACAUAUAUAUAUAUAAAUGUAUAAAAUAUAUAUAUUUUGUAUGUUAACAUAAUUGACAAAGUCAUUCCUCACUGCCAACUAAGCCAAAUCAAACCAAUAAAAUGUCUGGCUUCAUUCUUCAAAUUAAUAAAUACAUAUUUUAUAAUGUAUAUUUUAUAGAUUUGGAUAUUUUGAGGAAUAUUAAAGACACCAAAAAAUACAUUUUGGAACAUCUUACAGGUUAGAUAACUAAAGUAAUAAAGUAAAAUAAUUAAAAUUUUUAAAGCUAUACAAUAAAAUACUGUUUCUAUUAUUUGUGUUUUUUUAAAUGUUUAUAUUUUAUUUAUUUAU
rnacentral:lncRNA from 1 species